CGCGCUCUCUGGAUGCCAUCUUUAUUAUUGGCAGAGAGAUCCGUUGCCAGGGUUACCCGAGACUUUAAUUGUGAGACAGAAGGCUUGGUAAACCGUCUCUGACAGCAGCUGGAUUCCAAGUAAUUUGUAAUUAUGUGUUUAAAUAUUUAUUUGACUAUUAUGUAUCCCAUAAUACUGAUCGGUCGUAAUCCCUAUGAAGAAGAACCAGACUGGAUAUGAAGACAACAGUCAAUCCCUGCAAACCCUUGAAAGGGAGGGAGACAGAAGGAAAACUGAUAGAGCCUCAUGUCACAAUAUACCAUGGUGGGGACAGAUGCAUGAAGAAAUUGAGGCCCCAGCCCUUCCGGGAGGACUGCGUUCCCUACCUUCCCGAGCAGUGUACUCAUUGUCUUCGAUGAUCCGUGCCAGGCCGAAGUCAGCAAUCUUACACACCAGUGAUGCAGAGACCAAGAUGUUGGCAGCCCGGAGGUCUCGGUGGAUGUAGUUCCUCUGCUCAAUGAAGGCCAUGCCCUCUGAGAUCUGCGCCCGGAAGAGACAGUGUCACCCUCACAUACUAAAUUCUAGUAAAGAAUUC